GGAGGAGCGGGAGGACCUUCCCGCCCGAAGUCCCCUCCUCAUCCCAAGGUGAGUCCCGCGGCGAGGACCACGAGCCGCCGCAGGGCUCCCAUCCCCGGCGCGUCCAACCUUACCCGAUCAUCUUCAGAUUGUGUGGCCUUGGGCUUGGGUGUCCCAGACAGCCUUUUCCCACUGGGAACCACCGUUUAGCAUCUGAGAGCUCCACCCAACAAAGGUAGGAGAUCAUAUCCUGAUUUUUAAAAACUUCUAUCUGAGUGCAAUUGUAUCUUUUAUGGGCUGUUAGGAUAUGAAGCUUUUGAACUGCUCAUGUAAUAAAAUUCACCAGGAAAUGCUCACAAAGAAGGCGCUGUGUGGCCCAGAUGGGAAGACCCAAGAGUAUGUAAGAGAUGCCACUGGACUUAGAACAGAAACAACCACUUGGACUCUGGGGCAGUCUUAUCAGGCUUUACAAGCUAUAAAAUGAAUCAUGCUUGGGAACCAAAAGGUUAUAUGAUCUUGGAUAUUGGGGAAAAUAACAAACUGGCCCCAGGUGUAAGACGAAAGAAGCAGCUGCCUCCUUAACAAUUUUACAGUAUUUGACUGAAAAGAUUUGGCAACUGAGUUUUAUUUGCCACAUGUGAGAUGCUUUCAUGACCUUAUUAUUCUCAUGAUUAUAUUAAGCUUUUCAAGUUGUAUCUGUUGGUUUUUAUUUAAACUUAAAAAUCUCUGCCUUAACUUUGUAGAUUUCCUUUUGUCUUAGAACUUCUGUCUGUGCCUGCUGAUGAAUGAGGUCACUUCACCCUCUGCUGCCAGGCAGUCAUCCGAGGAGCUGGAAAGAGAGCAGCACGAACUUCUCCAACAUGCCAAACUGAUUUCUGCCAUAGAGUUUUUCAUUAGCUAUUUCCUCUACCUAGAAUGUUCCCUUCACUGGCCUCACAACUCCUUCUGGUCAUUUGGAUUUCAGCUCACAUGCAGCCUCAGAGAGGCCUUCCCUGACCACUCAAACUGAAGUAGUAUUUCAGGCCCUCUCUAUCACAGUUCUAUUUUAAUUCUAAUAGUGCUUAGCACUAGUUAUGGUGGGCUGAAUAAUGGCUCCCCAAAGAUAUCUAAGUCCUAAUCCUCAGAACCUGUGAAUGUUACCUUACAUGGCAAAAGAAGCUGUUCAAGUGUGAUAUUGUUAAGAAUUUUGAGAAGGGACAAUUACCCUGGAUUAUCUGGGUAGGCCUGGUAUAAUCCCAAAGGUUUUAUUUUAUAAGAAGGAUACAGGAGGAACCAGAGCUGAUGUGCUAACAGAAGGAGAGACUGGAGUGAUGCAUUUUGAAGGAAGGAGACCACAAAUCAAGGAAUACAGGCAGCCACUGCCUCUGGAAGCCAAAAAAGAAAAGGAAGUGUAUUCUUUUCUGAGAGCCUCUGGGAGGAACCAGCUCUGCUGAUGCCUUGAUUUCAACCUUGUAAGCCUCAUUUUGAACUUAUGACCUGAAACUGGAAGAGAAUAAAUGUGUGUAGC